ACGAUGAGUUACUACUAUCGUUACUAAAAUGUUAUUCCGAUGGGAACUAGGUAUGCAACCAACUUUACAAGCACUCGUAUUAGAGGUUGCAGUUGAUAGACGAUAAAGUUGGUAAUAUCUGGUAGAUUAGAGUCUAGCAGUUGGCAAUGACGAUAUCCGGCAGGGGUGUAUGUCAUAUCGGCCAUAGCGGCUGGCACUUCACUUGAAUUUUCGUUCUUGUCCGAUCAAGAAGUCCUCCGGUGGCCAUUGUAAGAAUUUACCUUUUGGUUGAAAUAAGUUAUAAGAAGAUUAAUUUACGUUGGAGGAAGUUUUUAUUUUUUUGUUUGGGGUUGUGAAGAGUUUUUGGUUCCAAUAUUUUUUGAAGAAAACAAUGGCCACUGGAGGGAGACUAUAACAAAAUUUAAGUCACAUUUGGAUGCUUCAUUUAUUUAUGGAAUAAACAAUCAUUUUGGUAUUAUUUUGGGUUUGGAUUGGAAGAGUUUUGGAUGUUUUUUUUUUCUCGUUUCUGGAAUAGACACUAAGUUCUAUCGACACUAGCAAGUACCUCCUCGUCAAUACUCUGUGUUGCUGUUCCUUACCUCCCGAGGAUUGGGAAGAUCGGAGGAUACGUACCUGGCUCUCUCAUCAUCAACCUCACCAGGAUUUUGGAGAAGCCACAGGCCUACUUUUGUAGAAACGCCAGGUUUUUAUAAUAAAAUUUGAAUUUUCAAUCCUUUUAAAUAAUAGUUUUCAAUUUUCAAUUUUUUUCAAUAACUCAAAUACAUAACCUUAAUAAUAAUAUAAAUUCACCUUCUUAAACCCUAUUAUCUUUAUAAUAUUCAAUAAUUUUUUUUUUGUCAACGAAUUUUAUAUUUCAUUUUCAUGAUUGUAUCAGGUAUUUAAAAUAAUCUCAGGAUUGUAAACUAUCUGGGACGAUACUGUGCACACUAUCGAAGGGUUUAUUUCCUACUCAAUAAUAUCUAUUCCAUUCACCAGAUAUUGUCAGGUUGUCACUUCCGAUCAGAUACGGGAUUGUCAGCCAAUCUUGUAUUCUACAGUAAUAAUUAGUUUGUACAUGCAUAUUUAGAUCAAAUCACUUCCUUAGUAGAAUAAAUUCAUUACAUAUAUUAGUUUUUUCAUACUGUAAAACCUGCAUUAUCGACAGGAGUGUACUACCAUAGUACGUCGGAUAUUUAGCUAGUGUAUAAAAUUGUAUAUAGGGUUUAUAGGUAUUUUUUUUUAUUAAAUGUGGUUGUACAUA
rnacentral:lncRNA from 1 species